UCCUCCUUCAUCACUCGAAACCCUAACCCUAUUUAGGUUACCGCCAUGUCCAAGCGCAAGUUCGGUUUCGAGGGCUUCGGCAUCAACCGCCCAUCCACGUACUCCUCCGAGCGCUCCCAGGCCUCUCAGCGCCUCUACGCGCCCUUCCACGACCUCUCCGACGACCAAGACCUCAACGACAUCACCUACGACAACCCCGGCCCGCCCCAUUCUGCCCCAGAUGGUGAUGGAGAGAUCGACCCCCUUGAUGCCUUCAUGGAGGGCAUCCACGGGGAGAUCCGCGCGCCACCUCCCCCCUCUGUUCAACCUAAGGAAAAGGGUGAGAGGUUUAAGGAUGAGGACGAGGACGACCCUGUUGAGAGCUUUCUGAGAUCUAAGAAGGACAUUGGCUUGGCCUUGGCUUCAGAGGCCUUGUAGGCUGGGUAUAAUUCGGAUGAGGAGGUCUAUGCUGCUGCCAAGGCUGUGGAUGCUGGCUUGGUUGAGUAUGAUUUGGAUGACAACCCAAUUGUUGUUGAUAAGCGAAAGAUUGAGCCGAUCCUGGCUUUGGAUCAUAGUGCCAUUGAAUAUGAACCCUUUAAUAAGGAUUUCUAUGAAGAAAAGCCCUCAAUUUCUGGGAUCAUGCUAGUGAGGUUUAGAGAAAUGAUGGAUUUGGACUCCUACGGUACGCUGUCAGGGUGAGAUGGAGGCGGUGGUGAGAACCCUUGCAAGUGGGUUGGGGUUGGUUGCGUAGAUGGCAGAGUAUUGGAUCUGAAAUUUAUGUGUAGAUUGGAUGGUGGAAUUGCAACAAUAUAGUGCAAAUAAGGCUGAUUGAAGCUCUAUUUCUGAGCUCACUGGCAUUAGCUAUGGCGGAUAUUGUUGUUGCCUAUUGGACCAAUUGCAGGGAGAGAAGGAAGCUUCUUCUUGUGUAUGGGAUCGACAUAGAAGGAGUAUAGGUCAUCAUCUAGGUCAAGAUCAGCUUAGUCGCUUCAGCACAAUGAGGAGUGGUUUGAUCAGAUGGAGAACUAUUUACCACAGGUGAUCAACGAGGAGGCACCAGAGAUCAUUGAAGGGUUGUGGGAGAAAGGCCGGAUGUUUACCGAGUUCGUCAUGGCUAAUGGUACCGUCACUGAAUGAUUGCGCAUUGCUUGUAUACUUGGAGAGGUUUGUGUAUUGUUGUUAUGCCUUAGUUCUCACAAUUGCUUGAUGGAUGGUGUUACUUGCGUCCAUACUAAUAUUGAGAACUGAGAAGUUUAGUAGAACAUGAUGUGAAUAAUAAUAUGAAUCAUGAUGGGCACGGUUAUUUCUUGUUGUUUCUGAAUCA